rnacentral:rRNA from 1 species
UACAGGAGGGUGCAAGCGUUAAUCGGAAUUACUGGGCGUAAAGCGUGCGUAGACGGUAGCGUAAGUCAGAUGUGAAAGCCCCGGGCUCAACCUGGGAAUUGCAUUUGAGACUGCGUAGCUAGGGUGCGGAAGAGGGAAGCGGAAUUUCCGGUGUAGCGGUGAAAUGCGUAGAUAUCGGAAGGAACACCAGUGGCGAAAGCGGCUUCCUGGUCCAGCACCGACGUUCAGGCACGAAAGCGUGGGGAGCAAACAGG